CGCUAUAGCUCAGUUGGUAGAGCACGUGAUUUGUAAUCUCGGGGUCCAAGGUUCGAGUCCCUGUGGC
rnacentral:tRNA from 1 species